GUGGUUAAAGCAGACUUAUUGCUACCUUUACAGCAGGUUUCUAUAACCAUUUAUUUCAAAUUACAUAGGGCUUGUUAUGGGCAGUGUGGCAGAGCCAGAGGGCAGACCAGUCUGUGCAGGAAUUCAAAAUACAGGAUGGCUCUACCAGAGCCUCAGUGCCAACUGUGUCUUUGCUAGUUAACACAGAAUGGUUAAAUACUAAGUAAAUGCCUGGAAAAGAUAUAUUCAGCUUGGUCUUCUAAAAUCUGAUGUAAAUGGCAAGUGGUACUUCCUUUGCAUUUAAUUUCUGUGGAAGUAUUGAGCUUGUUCUUUAAUUCCUCCUAGUGCUGAAGAAAUCUACUGGGGUUGGAGCUAUUUACAGUGGCAGCAUAAUAAAUAAGGAAACAAAGACAUUA